rnacentral:tRNA from 1 species
GCGGGUGUAGUUUAGUGGUAAAACUCCAGCCUUCCAAGCUGAUGUCGAGGGUUCGAUUCCCUCUACCCGCUCCA